GACGGGGCCCGCACAAGCGGUGGAGCAUGUGGUUAAUUCGAAGCAACGCGAAGAACCUUACCAGGUCUUGACAUCCCUGACAACCGAGAGAUCGGGCGUUCCCCGUCGGGGGACAGGGUGACAGGUGGUGCAUGGUUGUCGUCAGCUCGUGUCGUGAGAUGUUGGGUUAAGUCCCGCAACGAGCGCAACCCUCGACCUUAGUUGCCAGCAUUCAGUUGGGCACUCUAAGGUGACUGCCGGCUAAAAGUCGGAGGAAGGUGGGAUGACGUCAAAUCAUCAUGCCCCUUAUGUUCUGGGCUACACACGUGCUACAAUGGCCGGUACAGACGGACGCAAAGCCGCGAGGUGGAGCAAAUCCUAAAAAGCCGGUCUCAGUUCGGAUUGCAGGCUGCAAUUCGCCUGCAUGAAGUCGGAAUCGCUAGUAAUCGCAGGUCAGCAUACUGCGGUGAAUACGUUCCCGGGCCUU
rnacentral:rRNA from 1 species